GCGGCUGUAGCUCAGCGGAGCAGAGCGCGACCCUGCGAAGGUCGAGGUCACAAGUUCGAAUCUUGUCAGUCGCGCCA
rnacentral:tRNA from 1 species